GUUUAUCCAAACCAGCUUUUAAUAAUAUAAUCAUAAGCCUCAUAAUUACUAUUAUCCCUGAUUCAAAUCAAAUGGAGACAUUCUCCAACUAAACGAUUGCAGGGCUGCAGUUAAUUCAGUGAGAUGAGAUUUUGUGAUGUGGCAGAACGAGAGCCUGUUCAGACAGAAGAGGAUGUGACCCGGGUCAUGCCCUGAUUUUCACAGAGAUAAUGGAUGCCCUGCUGCUGCAGUGUUUUCUCCACGCACUCAAGAAGAAGGUGAAGAAAUCGGAGCUCCCCCUGCUGACCAGCACGUUCCUCCGCAACCACAUGUUCCCCUGCUGCCCGAGUGGAAAGCAGCUUGAUAUCAAGAAGUCCAGCUAUAAAAAGCUGUCCAAGUUUCUACAGGCCAUGCAGAAGCAGCACAACCUCGUGCGAGUGAAGGAACUGACCAAGGGUGUGGAGAGCAUUGUGGAGGUGGACUGGAAAAACCGAGAGCUGCGUUACUUCAAUGUUCCCGAGGAGACGGGUGAUGAAGCGUCCCCGGUGCAGAACGGGGGGGAGGCAGAGCCCCCGUACCAUCCUCCCGAGAUCACCACUCUGUACUCCGUGUCGUCUCGACUAGAGCCGCUCUUCCUGGAUGCCAAGAAGAGGAAAGGAACAAUCCUGCAGCCGGCUGAAGUGAGACAUAUUGUCACAGAGUACGUGAAGGAUAAUGAGCUGGUGGAUGAAAACAAUAAGAAUUACGUGACCAUAAACCCGACGCUGUGCGACUGCUUACUGGAGAAGUCUGAGUACCAGGAGGUGGAGUCUCUGAAGUGGGAUGACCUCUUUAGCAGGGCGCUGGCGAGAAUGCAGGAGUGCUAUGAAGUCGUGUUCCCCGGACAUGCACCCGUAAGAAAGAAGGGCCACAUCGAGCCCAUAGACAUCUCUGUGGCUUCUCGAGGCUCCAAUAAGAAGGUGACUCUAAUAAAGAACCUGGAUGUGUACGGUCUGGAUCCUGCAGCUGUGGCCACUGCUUUGCAGCACAGAGUCCAGGCCAGCUCCAACUUACAGCCCAUACCCGGGUCCAAGGACAAAGUCCUGGUCCAGAUCCAAGGCAAUCAGAUUCACCAAGCCGGCAAUUUGCUGAUAGAUCAUUUUCAAAUUCCUCGCAAGUACAUCCAAGGACUAGACAAAGCUCCAAAAGGUGGAAAGAAGAAGUAACAUUUCACCCGGUUUACUCUUCACUGUCUUUGAAGCUGCUGUAUGUAAACACGACAACAAGCGACUGUCCACCACUCGUGUAAUAAAGGCUUCUGGAAGCCUGUUGUCCUCGUGUGACUGGAGAGACCUGGAUGUGAUCUGUGGCGGUCUGUGAUGGGAACUGGGACUUAGGACAUGAAAUGAUCCAAGUUUAAGAACACUGCACCUGUUGACACUUUACGUAUAUUUACUAUUCUGACAUAACAGACACAGUCUCUGCACAUGCGCAAUAUUUGCGAAAGUAUAUAAUAGGAGACAACAAGCAAAAAACGUUAUUUUAAAAGAUGUACUUUGGACCUUUGAGUAACACAUCUGAGAACCCACUUUUGAUUCGUCACGUUCGACACAGGUGAAAGACACAGGUGAAAGACACAGGUGAAAGUAAUAUGAUUAGUUAUGUCUGAGCUCGUCAGCUGCCUCGGUUUCAGGGUCCUGGUGGAGGUCCUGUUCAAAGCAGUCUUUUUUUGACAUACAUGGCCCCGCUGGGUGAAAACACGUGAUUAAUGAAUUAUGGCCCCAUUCCAUUUAGGUGAGUCAGGCCUCCCGGUGUUGUGGUCUUACACACUAAACAGAUUGGGACCAUAAUUCAUUGUUUUUUAUUAACACCACCUAUGUUGACCCUGCCGUGAUAUGUCGUAAAGGUUGUGUUACGCAUGCGGGCUCACUUUCACACAUUUGAAUAGAGCAGAGCCAUCAUUUAAGUUAUUAAUAGCCUGACUGUGCUGAUCUGUGCUUUUCCUGUUAUAAGUCAAAGGACUGCAGUGAAAAUGAAAGGGAGACUGUCACAGAAGGCGUCAGUGUAUUUGUAACAUGCUGUUACAAUCUCACCUAUUUCACUUAAUAACUUCAACGACAGAUGUUGAUUGUAGAAUCAACCGCAUGCAUUGAAUAGUUGGGCUGCAUGCCGGGAACCAACAAUACAUUCUUGUAACUUUUUUUUAUUGUUUUCAUGUCUAAAAGUAUUAUUUUCAAGGAUGUCAGCACAUUUUUUCUCAGUUGGCGUAGGAUAGAUUGACAGUAAGGGAAAGUAACAGUGUACAGUAUUGCAUCUAUUCUAGCCUUUGGGAAUAUUUUUGUGUUUUACAAAUUUCUCUGCGUGAUUCCGAGUAUUUUAAUAUAUAUAUUGGUUGGCGCAUAUUGUUGUUUGACGAUGUUAAGACGAUGAGCUGUAGUUGGUUAGUGCUCUCUGUGGAGGAAUGUCGU